AUACUUACCUGGCAGGGGUGACACCAUGAUCACGAAGGUGGUUUUCCCACGGCAAGGCUCAUCCAUGCACUGCGGAUGUGCUGACCCUUGCCAUUUGCCCACGUGGGGGAAACUCGCCUGCAUAAUUUGUGGCAGUGGGUGACUACAUUUGCACUCUCCCC